AUAAAUAUAUAAUGGUUAGAUGCCUUUAGCUACGGCUAAAGGAGAAUAGGGAAUCAGGUGUGAAUCCUGAACGGGCCCGCCACUGUAACUAGCUAACUAGGCUCAAUAUACCACUUGGAUAUUUUAUAUUCAGGGAAGGUAGAACUUAGUAUUAAGGCUAGAAGUCAGGAGACCUGUCUAACCAUUUACCUACUA
rnacentral:ncRNA from 2 species